GGAGGCCUCCGUGGCCGUGCAACGACCGUUCAUGUUUGACGAUAGGCAGGCCUGCGCGGGGGCCGGUGCGGGGGCGCAGAGAGGGUGUCUGCCCGGUCCCCCUGUGAGCUGGGCAGUCCGACAGGGUUUUUGUUAAUUGCAGACUAUUCAAGGGUGUCUACCUGUAGGGGCGUUUCCCUGGAGAUCGGGCCCAGGGGCAGAGACCUUCCUUUGGCCACCUGGGAGCAGCAUGUGAGGAAGCUGCAAGUCACAAGUGGCUUCUGGCCUGAAAAGUCCUUCAUUUGCCUACAUCUGUCCCCUCUGACCCAGCCCUCCUUCCUACGGGAGGUGAGGUUCCAGGAAGUAGGGGGUUGAGUUUAGAAAACGAUUCUUGCAAUUAGAAAAGUAGCUUAAGCCCUAGCCUGUUUGGCUCGGUGGAUGGAGCUUCGGCCUGCGGACUGAAGGGUCCCGGGUUCGAUUCAGUUCAAGGGCACAUGCCGGGUCUGUGGCUCGAGCCCCAGUAGGCGGCGUGCAGGAGGUGGCUGAUCAGUGAUUCUCUCUCAUCAUUGAUGUUUGUCUCCCUCCCUUCCUCUCUGAAAAAAGUAAAAAUGUUUUUUGUUGUUGUUUUUUUAAGUAGCUUAAGUGGCUUUGGAAUAGUUUUUAAGCAACAACCUUCGUUCUCUAAAGCCAGAAACCUGGGCCUCUUUCUCAAUUACCACGCCCCCCUCCCCCCAAUCCCCAGCCCCCAGAUCAAUGCCACCAAGUCCCUUCUGCUUAUUUCAUGAAUAUCUUCCAAAUACUUGCUCUCCCUGCCUGUCUUGAUUCAGGCCCACCCUCUCACCUAAAUUACCAUGACAGCAGCUUAUUAAAAACAUAGCUAUCUGGGUACCACCAAAUCAGGAUCGUGGGGGAGUGGGCAUCACUAUUUUUUAAUAAGCUCUCAUUUUGGUGCACAUCAAAAUUUGAUCAUGAGUAUAUAAGGUGAAGUCAAAAAAGCUUGGCAUGGCCUGGCUGCCAUUGCUUAGUGGUUGAGCAUUGACCUAUGAGCCAGGAGGUCAUGGUUCCCAGUCAGGGCACAGGCCGAGGUUGCCGGCUCAAUCCCCAGUAGGGGGCGCAUGCAGGAGGCAGCCAAUCAGUGAUUCUCAUCAUUGAUGUUUCUAUCUCUCCCUCACCCUUCCUCUCUGAAAUAAAAAUUUAUUAAAAAAAAAAAAAAAAAAAAAGCAAAAAGCUCGGCAUGUAAGGUCACUCAGACCUGGACCUUAAUUGUUUUUUUAGGUACAUUCCCCUUCUGUAAUCCUAUCCUGUAUUCAAGUUAAAAUUCUUUUUUCCUUGUUUAAAAUUAAUUUUAGAGAGAUGAAGGAAGAGAAACAUCAAUUUGUUGUUCCACUUAUUUAUGCAUUUAUUGGUUUCUUCUUAUAUGUGUCCUCAUCUGAGAUAGAACUGGCAAUGUUGGCGUUUUGGGAUGAUGCUCUAACCAACUGCUCUCUGGCCAGGGCUCAUAUUGAAAUUCUGAAUGUCAUGUUCUCUCAAGCCUGCAAGCCUCAUGUGGUUCCUUCUGCCUAAACUGCCCAAUCUACCAUUCCUGACCUGCCUGGAGGCUUUUGAACAGUGCAAGCGCCAUCUUCUCUAUAAAGCCUUCCCUUUCGUCUCCUUCCAAGCAUUGUUGGUAGCACUUUAACUGUACUGUUAUUUCUCAUGUGUGUCUCCCUUGUUAACUGCUAACUCCUUACAGAAGUUUAUCCAUUUCGCGAUCCUCUGGACCUAGCAGUGCUCUUGUAUAUAGUAGGUAGCUUAAUGCACGUUCUUCAGAUGAAGUGGGUAACUCCUCCCACCCCUGCCUCCUUACCCCAGUGCCCUGGACAAUGCUCAUCUUGAUAGAGUAAGGAUAUGUAGGCCAGGUUGUCAAUAAAUGGGGAUUUACCAGUA